UACGUAGGCAGCAAGCGUUGUUCGGAAUUACUGGGCGUAAAGAGUGUGUAGGCGGUGCUCUAAGUUCGGUGUGAAAUCUCCCGGCUUAACUGGGAGGGUGCGCCGAAAACUGGAGUGCUCGAGCGUGGGAGAGGAAAGCGGAAUUCCUGGUGUAGCGGUGAAAUGCGUAGAUAUCAGGAGGAACACCUGCGGUGUAGACGGCUUUCUGGACCAUUGCUGACGCUGAGACACGAAAGCGUGGGUAGCAAACAGG
rnacentral:rRNA from 1 species